GAGUUUGAUCAUGGCUCAGAGCGAACGCUGGCGGCAGGCUUAACACAUGCAAGUCGAGCGCGUGUAGCAAUACACGAGCGGCAGACGGGAGAGUAACACGUGGGAACGCGCCCUUCGGUUCGGAAUAACUCAGGGAAACUUGAGCUAAUACCGGAUACGCCCUUACGGGGAAAGAUUUAUUGCCGAAGGAACGGCCCGCGUCCGAUUAGCUAGUUGGUGAGGUAACGGCUCACCAAGGCGACGAUCGGUAGCUGGUCUGAGAGGAUGACCAGCCUCACUGGGACUGAGACACGGCCCAGACUCCUACGGGAGGCAGCAGUGGGGAAUAUUGGACAAUGGGCGCAAGCCUGAUCCAGCCAUGCCGCGUGGAUGAUGAAGGCCCUAGGGUUGUAAAGUCCUUUUAACGGGGAAGAUAAUGACGGUACCCGUAGAAUAAGCCCCGGCUAACUUCGUGCCAGCAGCCGCGGUAAU
rnacentral:rRNA from 1 species